rnacentral:tRNA from 2 species
GCACAAUUAGUAUAGUAUGUAUAUUGAAUUUAGGUUUUAAAGGAAUGAUUGUGUU